rnacentral:misc_RNA from 1 species
UGGCUCUCGCAUCGAUGAAGAACGCAGCGAAAUGCGAUAAGUAAUGUGAAUUGCAGAAUUCAGUGAAUCAUCGAAUCUUUGAACGCACCUUGCGCCCCCUGGCAUUCCGGGGGGCAUGCCUGUUUGAGUGUCAUGUUAAUCUCAAGCCGCCUGUCUUUCUUAAUUGAAGACUCGAGGUUUGGACUUGGAGGUCCUAUUGCUGGCCAUGGUUUGGCCGGCUCCUCUGAAAUGCAUGAGCUGGACUUUGGCUCGCGUUUACGGUGUAAUAGUGACUAUUUUCACCAGAGCGCCUGCCUGAAGGGUCUGCUUCUAAUUGUCCUCUAUGGACAAGGAUCCCCUUAGUGGGCCUUCUUGACACCUUUGACCUCAAAUCAGGUAGGAUUACCCGCUGA